rnacentral:rRNA from 1 species
UGGGGAAUUUUGGACAAUGGGCGAAAGCCUGAUCCAGCAAUGCCGCGUGUGUGAAGAAGGCCUUCGGGUUGUAAAGCACUUUUGUCCGGAAAGAAAUCCUUGGCUCUAAUACAGUCGGGGGAUGACGGUACCGGAAGAAUAAGCACCGGCUAACUACGUGCCAGCAGCCGCGGUAAUACGUAGGGUGCAAGCGUUAAUCGGAAUUACUGGGCGUAAAGCGUGCGCAGGCGGUUUGCUAAGACCGAUGUGAAAUCCCCGGGCUCAACCUGGGAACUGCAUUGGUGACUGGCAGGCUAGAGUAUGGCAGAGGGGGGUAGAAUUCCACGUGUAGCAGUGAAAUGCGUAGAGAUGUGGAGGAAUACCGAUGGCGAAGGCAGCCCCCUGGGCCAAUACUGACGCUCAUGCACGAAAAGCGUGGGGAGCAAAACAGGAUUAGAUACCCCUGGUAGUCCACGCCCUAAACGAUGUCAACUAGUUGUUGGGGAUUCAUUUCCUUAGUAACGUAGCUAACGCGUGAAGUUGACCGCCUGGGGAGUACGGUCGCAAGAUUAAAACUUAAAUGAAUUGACGGGGUCAUAGCUGUUUCCU